UGGGGAAUAUUGGACAAUGGGCGCAAGCCUGAUCCAGCAAUGCCGCGUGAGUGAUGAAGGCCUUAGGGUUGUAAAGCUCUUUUACCCGGGAUGAUAAUGACAGUACCUGGAGAAUAAGCUCCGGCUAACUCCGUG
rnacentral:rRNA from 1 species